GGCUGUGCUGACCCCUGCGAAUUUCCAAAUGUGGAAAUCUCGAUUGCAUAAUUUCUGGUAGUGGAGGACUGCGUUCGCGCUCUCCACUG
rnacentral:snRNA from 8 species